GGGGUGUGCUCAGAGCAAGGUGCCUGGAGAAUGGCUCCUCUGUUUAUUACACACCCAAUAGAAAUCUGGUCAUUGUGUGAGGAGGGUUACAGAAUGCAUUGCCUUCCUCUGAGCACAUUAAUGUCGUAC
rnacentral:snoRNA from 1 species